UCAUCCUUGUUGCAAAAAGGUGAGAAGAUUUUAAAGUAGAAGUGACAUGCCUACCGAGCUUAGAAAUAGCUGGUUAUUCAAAAGACGGAUUUAAGUCCAACUUUAAGUUUUAUUAAUUUUACUAAAUAAACCCCAAACUUAAAAGCUAUUCAAAUAGGGUACAGCCUAUCUGAAUAAGGAUACAACCUAUAAUAUAGGGUAAUGUUUAACAACUUGAUUAAGUAGGCCUAAGAACAGCCACCUUCUAAAAAGCGUCCAAGCUUCCCCACUAAACAUUUUUAAUACCACUAUUAAUCCAAAACCCCCAAUCACUACUGAAUGAUCCCAUAACUAUAUGGAAGACAUCAUGCUAGAACUAGUAACAAGAAGACGGACUUCUCCAAAAUGUAAACGUAAGCCUAUAAUAAACCCCUUACCGGCACUUAUCGCUACAAUCUAUAGUAUAUUUAUACAAGAACACCCUACUAAUU
rnacentral:rRNA from 1 species